CUACGGGCUGCUGCAGUGAGGAAUAUUGCGCAAUGGGGGAAACCCUGACGCAGCGACGCCGCGUGGAGGAUGACGCAUUUCGGUGUGUAAACUCCUUUUAUAUGUCAAGAAAAUGACGGUAGCAUAUGAAUAAGCACCGGCUAACUCCGUGCCAGCAGCCCCGGUAAUACGGAGGGUGCAAGCGUUACUCGGAAUCACUGGGCGUAAAGGACGCGUAGGCGGGUUGGAAAGUCAGGUGUGAAAUCCUACAGCUUAACUGUAGAACUGCACUUGAAACUUCUAAUCUAGAGUAUGGGAGGGGGAGAUGGAAUUAGUGGUGUAGGGGUAAAAUCCGUAGAUAUCACUAGGAAUACCUAAAGCGAAGGCGAUCUCCUGGAACAUUACUGACGCUAAGGCGUGAAAGCGUGGGGAGCAAACAGGAUUAGAUACCCCAGUAGUC
rnacentral:rRNA from 1 species